rnacentral:rRNA from 1 species
GUCUUUUUGAAUAUAAUUUAAAGUCUAACCUGCCCACUGAAUUUUUUAAAGGGCCGCGGUAUUUUGACUGUGCAAAGGUAGCAUAAUCAUUAGUCUUUUAAUUGAAGGCUUGUAUGAAUGGUUGGAUGAGGUAAUAACUGUCUCAAAUUAAUAAAUAAUAAAAUUUUAUUUUUAAGUUAAAAAGCUUAAAUAUAAUUAAAGGACGAGAAGACCCUAUAGAUCUUUAUAAAUUAAUAAUUUUAAAUUUUUUAGUUAAAAUAUGUUUUUAUUCAUUGAUUUAUUUUAUUGGGGUGAUGAAAAAAUUUAAAAAACUUUUUUUUUAGCUAAACAAUGAUUUUUGAUUAAUUGAUCCAUUAUUAAUGAUUAAAAGAUUAAGUUACCUUAGGGAUAACAGCGUAAUUUUUUUGAAGAGUUCAUAUCGAUAAAAAAGAUUGCGACCUCGAUGUUGAAUUAAAGGUUAAUUUUAGGUGUAGAAGUUUAAAGUUUUGGUCUGUUCGACCAUUAAAUC